rnacentral:tRNA from 13 species
GUUGGGCCAUCGCCCUCGGCGGUUCGAUUCCCGUGCCC